AACACUGGUUGCAAAGAGAAAUCAAUAACAAGGCCUACGUGUGCAAGUGAAAAAGAGAGAACGCACUAAUGACUAAGCCGCGAGACGAGUGUUGGUGAGCAUGGAAAACAAAGGCCUAACUCAGUUGGGUAAUUGGGUUAGGCACAGCAACAAGACCUUCAAAGAAACACCCAAACAAAAAUUGCGAACAAGUCUCAAAAGAGACGGUAAAGAGACUACAACUCAACAUAUGUACAACAAUGGCAAUGGUAAAUGGCAGAUAUGAAAUCAAUUACUUUAAUGCAGCAAACAAUCUAUCGUUGAUAAGAAUUCAAUUAUGUUAAUACCGAAUUUUGGUUAUCCCAAAUAGGUCAGACUGUACAUUAUGGUACUCUUUAGCUAUGGUUUUGAGAUUAUUAUAAGUACAUUUAGCUUGUGAUGGAGACUGUACAGUAAAUAUUCGAAUUGCGGGUAUUACCCAACACAAAUCUCGGAUGAACUAUGCUAAGCGCUGCGGCUUUUUGCAUUUAUUUUUGCUCCACAGACGGACUCUCUCAGCAGUGCGACCUCGAUUUGAUAAGCGACGAGGGCAAAUAACUUUCAAUUUUCGGCAUGAACAGAAUGAAAAAAUUCACCCAAAAGAAAGAAUGCUAUACUGGAUGCGACUUUUUGCUGCGGAACCCGUUUGUUGUAUUUUAGAAACCUUGAAUCUAAAUCUAAGCAAACUGGUUUCCGUAGUCUCGAUUCGAGAAGCUAGCCGGGUGCGUGUCGUGUUUCCCUUCGUGACACGAUAUAACAAAAAAUUAUAAAUAAAUUACCAAAUAAUAAACCUUUUUGGCACGAGCUCGCUCAAACACGA